rnacentral:rRNA from 1 species
AUGGAUCGAGUCUGGAAUGAUGAUAUACGAGAUAGAGUUGGAAUUGAAGAGAAGCUUGUCCAACAUCGUCUGAGAUGGUUUGGGCAUAUUCAGCGCAGGCCUCCAGAAGCUUCAGUGCAUAGCGGACGGCUAAAGCGGGCGGAGAAUGUCAAGAGAGGUCGGGGUAGACCGAAUUUGACAUGGGAGGAGUCUGUUAAGAGAGACCUGAAGGAUUGGAGUAUCACCAAAGAACUAGCUAUGGACGGGUGCGUGGAAGCUUGCUAUUCAUGUGCCAGAGCCAUGAGUUGCUCGCGAGAUCUUAUGAGUUUCACCUCUAGCCUACCCCAACUUGUUUGGGACUAA